UACGAAGGGUGCAAACGUUGCUCGGAAUUAUUGGGCGUAAAGCGCACGUAGGCGGCUUAGCAAGUCGGAAGUGAAAUCCCAGGGCUCAACCCUGGAACUGCCUUUCAUACUGGCAAUCUCGAGUCCGAGAGAGGUGAGUGGAAUUCCGAGUGUAGAGGUGAAAUUCGUAGAUAUUCGGAGGAACACCAGUGGCGAAGGCGGCUCACUGGCUCGGUACUGACGCUGAGGUGCGAAAGCGUGGGGAGCAAACAGG
rnacentral:rRNA from 1 species